UUUUCCCUGCUUUGCGCGGCAGGGGCUUCAUUCUCCUACCCAACAUUAAAACCCAUCGGGAGCUAGUGUUCGGUUGCGGACGGGCUGUGCGGUUCGCCAAACGGCCCGGUAAACAAUUGACGGGUUCCCACCUUACUCACGUAAGGUCAGGAGAGUGUCCCACCGGCAAAGCGGGGAUUUU
rnacentral:other from 1 species